AGAGCACACAGCACAUGUCUGCAGACCUCACACCCAGGGCAUCCAGACACAGACGUCACUCCAGGAGUGAGGGCAAGAAUCCACCAGCCGCCCUUUGCUGGAGCCUGACCUGUUUCUGUGCAUGGGGCCAGAUGAGUGAGGCCUUGAUGAGCUUUCGUGAGGCUGCAGCCAUGGACCAUUCACCAGAUACUCCUGUGACAGCUCCUUCCCUCUCAUCUCACAUGUGAGAGCAAGCAGAGGGAGAGAAUGAGGAGUGGGAGAUGGAGUGAAGAGGGAAACCAGGAGAGAAAGGGAAAGAAGGGUGGAAGAAAAAGAAAGAAAAGAAGAGGGAAAGAACACAAACUCUGUUUUGCCUCUGGAUUACCAGCCGCUGCCCACAGAUGAGCCACUGU